GAACUUUGUUUGUUUUUUUGGGUAUGUGUGACACACACACACACACACAGUAAAGCAGCACCUAAAGCACUCCAGGGCUGAUUUUGGACAGCAGACACAGCCGUCAGGCCGGCAUGAUCCCUACAGCCUACUGAUAGGGUGGAAUCUUCUGAAACACCCCUUUCACUUUGGAGAUGCUUGGUAAUUAUCCUGUGGAUCAGCAUUCUCCUGGCUUUAGCCCUCCUCCUGCCUUGUCAGUCUUACUUUCAUUUAGAUUUUGCCCCCAGUGUGUAUUUAUUGCCCUGUCACUUUUCUAGCAUAUCAGGUUUAAUUAUAGGUUCAAUAAUACAGAAGGAACUAGUUUCCCUCAGGCAACUAAUUACAUGUGUCCUUUUCGGUUGAAUUUUAAAUACCAAAUUAUUUUGCAUUGAAUGGGAACGAUGUAUUUAUUUUUUUUACAUUAAAUGCAGAUAGAGUUGUAUUGGUUUGAAACAACUUAAAUACUAAUCUCAAAAUGUGUGAUUAAACAAUGCAUUUUGCUUGUUCCUUUAAUUUUGAAGAGUGGGCUGGGGUUGUGAAGACAUGGCAUUGUUUCAAAUUUCAGGCUUAUCUGGAGGGGUAAGAAGGCUAAGCACACACACUAGAAGGGAGUGAGUCUCUAAAAGAUAAAUCUGAAAACAAUCAGAUUGGCCUAUUCACAACAAAAGUGAGUAAGAAGCUUUAAAAAAUUCCAGGUAACAGGAGCUUGGUAACCCCUAAGGUAGAGGUAGAACUAACCUACGGUUUUCUGAAGUCAAUACAAUUCCGUUUAUAAAAAGCUGGAAAGUAAUGUACCUUGAUUGUUCUAGGAAUGAUUUAUGUGUUGUAGUUUUAAUUUAUUUAAAGCAUGUCUGCCAUGUUUGUCCUAAGAGAAAUGUUUCAACAAAAUGUGCUGUUUAAGAUGCAUUUAGGCAACACUUAGCGGUUUUGAAAGUAGAAACUGGAAAUGUUGAUUGUGAUGUUUGUGAAUUUCCAUUUUGUGAAAUACUACAUAGUUUCACGUCAGACUACAAUUGUAAUUUCUCUGUAGAUCUCCACCCCAUGGUGGUGUCAUCAAUGAAUUCAAAGCAGGUGCCAUUAUUUUUUUAAAUAAACACUUGACAUUAGCUUUGGUGUUAAAUAAAAG
rnacentral:lncRNA from 1 species